rnacentral:rRNA from 1 species
CGAACGCUGGCGGCGUGCUUAACACAUGCAGGUCGAACGGAAAGGCCCUGCUUUUGUGGGGUGCUCGAGUGGCGAACGGGUGAGUAACACGUGAGUAACCUGCCCUUGACUUUGGGAUAACUUCAGGAAACUGGGGCUAAUACCGGAUAGGAGCUCCUGCUGCAUGGUGGGGGUUGGAAAGUUUCGGCGGUUGGGGAUGGACUCGCGGCUUAUCAGCUUGUUGGUGGGGUAGUGGCUUACCAAGGCUUUGACGGGUAGCCGGCCUGAGAGGGUGACCGGCCACAUUGGGACUGAGAUACGGCCCAGACUCCUACGGGAGGCAGCAGUGGGGAAUAUUGCACAAUGGGCGGAAGCCUGAUGCAGCAACGCCGCGUGCGGGAUGACGGCCUUCGGGUUGUAAACCGCUUUCGCCUGUGACGAAGCGUGAGUGACGGUAAUGGGUAAAGAAGCACCGGCUAACUACGUG